rnacentral:rRNA from 1 species
GACGAACGCUGGCGGCGUGCUUAACACAUGCAAGUCGAACGGAAAGGCCCUGCUUUUGUGGGGUGCUUGUGUGGCGAACGGGUGAGUAACACGUGUGUAACCUGCCCUUGACUUUGGGAUAACUUUAGGAAACUGGGGCUAAUACCGGAUAGGAGCUCCUGCUGCAUGGUGGGGGAUGGAAAGUUUCGGCGGUUGGGGAUGGACUCGCGGCUUAUCAGCUUGUUGGUGGGGUAGUGGCUUACCAAGGUUUUGACGGGUAGCCGGCCUGAGAGGGUGACCGGCCACAAUGGGACUGAGAUACGGCGCAGACUCCUACGGGAGGCAGCAGUGGGGAAUCUUGCGCAAUGGGCGGAAGCCUGAUGCAGCAACGCCGCGUGCGGGAUGACGGCCUUCGAGUUGUAAACCGCUGUCGCCUGAGACGAAGCGUGAGUGACGGUAAUGGGUAAAAAAGCACCGGCUAACUACGUG